AUGCCUGUUGUGGGCAUCUCCACAAAAGUUCCUUGAAACGCUCCCAUGUCUCAAACAAUGAUUCCAAUUCCAUCUUCAUGAAUGACAAUAUCUCAUUGCAAAGCUU